UUAAUUGAAGAGUUUGAUCAUGGCUCAGAUUGAACGCUGGCGGCAGGCCUAACACAUGCAAGUCGAGCGGCAGCACAGAGGAACUUGUUCCUUGGGUGGCGAGCGGCGGACGGGUGAGUAAUGCCUGGGAAAUUGCCCGGUAGAGGGGGAUAACCAUUGGAAACGAUGGCUAAUACCGCAUAACCUCGCAAGAGCAAAGCAGGGGACCUUAGGGCCUUGCGCUACCGGAUAUGCCCAGGUGGGAUUAGCUAGUUGGUGAGGUAAGGGCUCACCAAGGCGACGAUC
rnacentral:rRNA from 1 species